rnacentral:rRNA from 1 species
GACGAACGCUGGCGGCGUGCCUAAUACAUGCAAGUAGAACGCACAGUUUAUACCGUAGCUUGCUACACCAUAAACUGUGAGUUGCGAACGGGUGAGUAACGCGUAGGUAACCUGCCUGGUAGCGGGGGAUAACUAUUGGAAACGAUAGCUAAUACCGCAUAAUAUUGAUUAUUGCAUGAUAAUUGAUUGAAAGAUGCUAUUGCAUCACUACCAGAUGGACCUGCGUUGUAUUAGCUAGUAGGUGAGGUAACGGCUCACCUAGGCGACGAUACAUAGCCGACCUGGGAGGGUGGUCGGCCACACUGGGACUGAGACACGGCCCAGACUCCUACGGGAGGCAGCAGUAGGGAAUCUUCGGCAAUGGACGAAAGUCUGACCGAGCAACGCCGCGUGAGUGAAGAAGGGUUUCGGAUCGUAAAGCUCUGUUGUAAGAGAAGAACGGGUGUGAGAGUGGAAAGUUCACACUGUGACGGUAUCUUACCAGAAAGGGACGGCUAACUACGUG